GCUUCACUGAAAUCAAACUUUUUUUUUGUAGGUGACUGUUUAGCUUGGCCAUUUGCUGCUCCUACCUCAAAUAGAAGGUUUCCUGUGACUUUCUUUGUCCAACGGAACAUGAUAGAACUAACGUAGCACCAGUUACCACCUUGGUCCUCAAGAGGCCUUCCACCCUUUAGCUCUCUUGGAAUCCUUCCUUCCCCAAAGGAACAAGUCUGCACUAACCAAUGAAGGAUGAGAAAGCACAAGGAGGAGAGCCAAGGCACCCCAGUAACUGCAGAAGCAGAGCUGUUGACAGAUGCAUGGGGGAGUCCAGCCAAGACCAGAAUUGCCAUGCUGAGUGCAGUCUAAAUUGCCAAAUUUCAGAUUCAGGAAUA
rnacentral:lncRNA from 10 species